GUAUAUUUUCAAUUGUUUUCGGAGAAAAACAUCUAAAACAAAAAAAAAAACAAAAAUUAAAAUGUGAAAUAAUAAAAAAUUAGAUUUAAGCAUAAAGUGUUAUUAGUGUUAAGCAAAAAGUGCAAGUUCAUUAGUUUUAAGAAUUUUUGUGAAAUAAUACAACAUUUUCGAAUAUUUGUGUCAACAACAAGGAGUAUGCGGAAAGAUUGAAUACCCCAGUCUACCCUUAUUCUACAUAACGAAUUCAAGAGCUAAAAAUCCACACCCAGAACACAAGAAGGUACUUUGCACUAUUUUGGGUUGGAGUACUUUAACGAUCACCAGCUCUUUUCAGUUCGGAGUAUGUGGAAUUAUUGAUUACACCAAUCGACACCCAUUCAAGUAUGUAUGGAAAGAAAUCAACUGAGUGAGGUUUAGCAAAAGAAGUCACAUUUUCUAUAGGACUACGAUAUGUACUUAUGUAGUUCUCCAUAUAACGAGAGUACUUUAAACAUUGCUGGAGUGCGCUACUGAUCAGGAUUAUAAAUGGUUAUCAGAAUUAUGACUGCAACUUAGAGCCAUUACACAAAGGACACUUUAUUGGACAUAUCACACUUAUUGUAAUCAUUUCAAUUGGACAUAUAUUUUGAUACUAAAAAAGACUAGAUACUAAAGAUACUAAAAGGGACUACGAUACAAGUAUGUAUGUAGUUCUCCAUAUAACGAAUUUGAGGUUUAAGAACCCACAAGAGAGUACUUUAAACAUUGCUGGAGUGCGCUACUGAUCAGGAUGAUAAAUGGUUAUCAGAAUUAUGACUGCAACUUAGAGCCAUUACACAAAGGACACUUUAUUGGACAUAUCACACUUAUUGUAAUCAUUUCAAUUGGACAUAUAUUUUAUUACUAAAAAAGACUAGAUACUAAAGAUACUAAAAGGGACUACGAUAUGUAUGUAGUUCUCCAUAUAACGAAUUCGAGGUUUAAGAACCCACAAGAGAGUACUUUAAACAUUGCUGGAGUGCGCUACUGAUCAGGAUUAUAAAUGGUUAUCAGAAUUAUGACUGCAAUUUAGAGCCAUUACACAAAGGACACUUUAUUGGACAUAUCACACUUAUUGUAAUCAUUUCAAUUGGACAUAUAUUUUAUUACUAAAAAAGACUAGAUACUAAAGAUACUAAAAGGGACUACGAUAUGUAUGUAGUUCUCCAUAUAACGAAUUCGAGGUUUAAGAACCCACAAGAGAGUACUUUAAACAUUGCUGGAGUGCGCUACUGAUCAGGAUUAUAAAUGGUUAUCAGAAUUAUGACUGCAAUUUAGAGCCAUUACACAAAGGACACUUUAUUGGACAUAUCACACUUAUUGUAAUCAUUUCAAUUGGACAUAUAUUUUGAUACUAAAAAAGACUAGAUACUAAAGAUACUAAAAAGGACUACGAUACAAGUAUGUAUGUAGUUCUCCAUAUAACGAAUUUGAGGUUUAAGAACCCACAAGAGAGUACUUUAAACAUUGUUGGAGUGCGCUACUGAUCAGGAUUAUAAAUGGUUAUCAGAAUUAUGACUGCAACUUAGAGCCAUUACACAAAGGACACUUUAUUGGACAUAUCACACUUAUUGUAAUCAUUUCAAUUGGACAUAUAUUUUGAUACUAAAAAAGACUAGAUACUAAAGAUACUAAAAAGGACUACGAUACAAGUAUGUAUGUAGUUCUCCAUAUAACGAAUUUGAGGUUUAAGAACCCACAAGAGAGUACUUUAAACAUUGCUGGAGUGCGCUACUGAUCAGGAUGAUAAAUGGUUAUCAGAAUUAUGACUGCAAUUUAGAGCCAUUACACAAAGGACACUUUAUUGGACAUAUCACACUUAUUGUAAUCAUUUCAAUUGGACAUAUAUUUUAUUACUAAAAAAGACUAGAUACUAAAGAUACUAAAAGGGACUACGAUAUGUAUGUAGUUCUCCAUAUAACGAAUUCGAGGUUUAAGAACCCACAAGAGAGUACUUUAAACAUUGCUGGAGUGCGCUACUGAUCAGGAUGAUAAAUGGUUAUCAGAAUUAUGACUGCAAUUUAGAGCCAUUACACAAAGGACACUUUAUUGGACAUAUCACACUUAUUGUAAUCAUUUCAAUUGGACAUAUAUUUUGAUACUAAAAAAGAAACCUUACACGUUAUUAGAUGAUCGGCCCACUUAUGGGGAUAUUAUAUAUAUUUUGAUACGAAAGAGCACAAAACUAUAAAAGAGAAAGAUUUAGAAGAAUGCUUCAAAGCUUCUCGGCUACAAACACUAACCGGCGUCUCCCGGCUACAAAUCCUAUAUAUUUUGAUACGAAAAGACAAACUUUAAACUUAGCAUCUAUUUUGCAGCGAUCAUUCAAAUCGGCAUAUGGAUGUUUGCAGCAGUAAAUACACUCUUUAUAAGUAUUUUUACAUAAAAAACGAUGUAUAUAUUUUGAUACUAAAGGAAAUCCUUACCAUAUAUUUUGAUACUAAGACGGAAAUACCUAUACAUACUUGUCCCACAUUAAAAGGGAUGCCAGUAAUUCAAUUUCCAAUCACAACUCUUCUCGGAGCAGUAAUGUGAUGCUAAAAUGAAAACCAAACUGUAUAUUUUGAUACUAAAAAUCCCUUACCAUAUAUUUUGAUACUAAUAAACCUAUAUAUUUUGAUACUUAAGGGAUAUAGAAA